GUGUAAGUCUUGCUCUUGUUAGUGUAUCAGAGCUUGAAACUUAGUUAUGCAGAAAUUUUCAAUAAUUUUAAUAUUACAUUUACGUAACUAAGUUAGUUAAAAAUAUAAAAUGCUUUAUAAAUUAUUUUCUGCAAGUAGUCUGUUACUCUUGAAUUUCUCACAUAGUUAUUAAAGGUACAAGGUGCAUUAAGGUGCAAACAGGUUUUGGAGCCUUGGCGCAAGGCUCAGGCACGCCUAAGUGACAUGAGUGGCAAAGGAAAUAAAAUUAGAUAAGUAAUGACAUGAGUGGAAAAAAAAUAAAUUAGAUAAGUAAUCUUCUAUAAGUAAACUCAUGUUAAUAACAUAAAUCAUUUAGGAUCUAGCACCAAUGUUUUUAAAAUCC
rnacentral:misc_RNA from 1 species